rnacentral:rRNA from 1 species
CUGCUAUCGGGAUAGGACUAAGACAUGCUAGUCAAGCGCUUCCCAGCCAAAGGGAAGUGCGGCACACAGCUCAGUAGCACGUGGCUAACCUGCCCUUGGGAUAGGGACAACCCCGGGAAACUGGGGCUAAUUCCUAAUAAGCGAAGAGCUCUGGAAUGAGCCUUCACUCGAAACGAUUUUUGCACUAUGCUUGCAGAUUUCGCCCUAGGAUGGGGCCGCGACCGAUCAGGUUGUUGGUGAGGUAACGGCUCACCAAGCCUAUAACCGGUGCGGGCCGUGGGAGCGGGAGCCCGGAGAUGGGUACUGAGACAAGGACCCAGGCCCUACGGGGCGCAGCAGUCGCGCAAACUUUGCAAUACACGAAAGUGUGACAGGGCUAUCCCGAGUGCCGUCCGCUGAGGAUGGCUUUUACCCAGUCUAGAAAGCUGGGGGAAUAAGGAGAGGGCAAGUCUGGUGUCAGCCGCCGCGGUAAUACCAGCUCUCCGAGUGGUGUGGAUGUUUAUUGGGCCUAAAGCAUCCGUAGCUGGCCAAGUUAGUCCCUUGUUAAACCCACCGAAUUAAUCGUUGGAUUGCGGGGGAUACUGCUCGGCUAGGGGACGGGAGAGGCAGACGGUAUUUUCGGGGUAGGGGUGGUCGCAAGAUU